rnacentral:rRNA from 1 species
UACAGAGAGUGCGAGCGUUGUUCGGAAUUAUUGGGCGUAAAGGGCGCGUAGGCGGUGCGGUAAGUCACCUGUGAAAUCUCCUGGCUCAACUGGGAGCUUGCAGGCGAAACUGCCGUGCUGGAGUGUGGGAGAGGUGCGUGGAAUUCCUGGUGUAGCGGUGAAAUGCGUAGAUAUCAGGAGGAACACCUGUGGCGAAAGCGGCGCACUGGACCACAACUGACGCUGAGGCGCGAAAGCUAGGGGAGCAAACAGG